CCUUCUCAUAGGGAACUCCAUCCUUGCUUCUUGAUGUAGGCUUCUAAAGGUCAUACAGUUGAAUAAAGAGUUACUUUUUUCUUACAAUUUCAAAAAAAAAAAAAAAAACAACUUGUUUCUUUAUUUUCCUUGGAUAACAAGUGGUUGGAAUGGAUAGGGGUCUUAUCAAUAGAAGUCUGCUAAAGUCCUUGUUAGGCUUACUUUGAUUUAUUUUGGAUUGUUGCCUAGAUAUGUGCAUUCGUAUGGAACAGAAGACAUGCUAUGAUUACUCAUACAGAAAGUUUGCUUGCUAUAUUUUUAUGUGAGUGGAAACUAUCUGGAAGUGAGGUUCCUAAUCCCUGUAGUGAGCCUCAAAACAUAUCCUAUACUCUAUACUCUCAAUUUUCAGCAGGUGGUUGUUAUCAUUAAAUCACAUCUGUUGGAGUUGCUAGACUUGUAAACUUCUAGCACAGAUCUACCUGGAAGCUUAAAUAUCAGUUUUCAAUCAACAACUAGGCUAUUCUACACUCUACGUGAAAAAGUACUCUGUCUAAAAUUAUCACGAUGAUGAACUUCUGUCCAUCCAUAAGUGGGAUUCCCCACAUUCAACUUCAUAUGUUCCUUGUAGUCGAUAGCAAACCUGUACUUU